UACGAAGGGUGCAAACGUUGCUCGGAAUUAUUGGGCGUAAAGCGCGCGUAGGCGGCUUUGCAAGUCCCAUGUGAAAUCCCACGGCUCAACCGUGGAAGUGCAUGGGAAACUGCAGAGCUUGAGUACUUAAGAGGAUCGCGGAAUUCCCGGUGUAGAGGUGAAAUUCGUAGAUAUCGGGAGGAACACCAGUGGCGAAGGCGACGAUCUGGGAAGAUACUGACGCUGAGGUGCGAAAGCGUGGGGAGCAAACAGG
rnacentral:rRNA from 1 species